AUUGAACGCUGGCGGUAGGCCUAACACAUGCAAGUCGAACGGCAGCACAGUACUAGCUUGCUCUUACAGCUGGCGAGUGGCGGGUGGGUGCUGGGAACAUCCCUGUUUGCUUUUUCGAGGGUGAGAACGCGGGCGCACUUACCGCAUAAGUCCAUACGACGUACGGGGGGGAUCAUGGGAUCUCAGGCCCUCGGAUGAGUCUAUGAGGCGAUGUCGGAUUAGCUAGUUGGCGGGGUAAAGGCCUACCAAGGCGACGAUCCGUAGCUGGUCUGAGAGGAUGAUCAGCCACACUGGAACUGAGACACGGUCCAGACUCCUACGGGAGGCAGCAGUGGGGAAUAUUGGACAAUGGGCGAAAGCCUGAUCCAGCCAUGCCGCGUGUGUGAAGAAGGUCUUCGGGUUGUAAAGCACUUUUAUUGGGGAAGAAAAGCAGCAAGUUAAUACCUCGCUGUUCUGACGUUACCCAAAGAAUAAGCACCGGCUAACUUCGUG
rnacentral:rRNA from 1 species